AUUGAACGCUGGCGGCAGGCCUAACACAUGCAAGUCGAACGAGUGGCGGACGGGUGAGUCAUGUCUGGGAAACUGCCUGAUGGAGGGGGAUAACUACUGGAAACGGUAGCUAAUACCGCAUACCAUCGGAUGUGCCCAGAUGGGAUUAGGUUGUGGGUGGGGUAAAGGCUCACCCAGGCAGCGAUCCGUAGCUGGUCUGAGAGGAUGACCAGCCACACUGGAACUGAGACACGGUCCAGACUCCUACGGGAGGCAGCAGUGGGGAAUAUUGCACAAUGGGCGCAAGCCUGAUGCAGCCAUGCCGCGUGUAUGAAGAAGGCCUUCGGGUUGUAAAGUACUUUCAGCGGGGAGGCGUUACCCGCAGAAGAAGCACCGGCUAACUCCGUGCCAGCAGCCGCGGUAAUUC
rnacentral:rRNA from 1 species